CCUACGGGUGGCAGCAGUGGGGAAUAUUGGACAAUGGGCGAAAGCCUGAUCCAGCAAUGCCGCGUGAGUGAUGAAGGCCUUAGGGUUGUAAAGCUCUUUUACUGGGAUACAGUACCCAGAGAAUAAGCCCGGCUAACUCCGUGCCAGCAGCCGCGGUAAUACGGAGGGGCUAGCGUUGUUCGGAAUUACUGGGCGUAAAGCGCACGUAGGCGGCUCAGCAAGUCAGGGGUGAAAUCCCGGGGCUCAACCCCGGAACUGCCCUUGAAACUGCUAAGCUAGAAUCUUGGAGAGGCGAGUGGAAUUCCGAGUGUAGAGGUGAAAUUCGUAGAUAUUCGGAAGAACACCAGUGGCGAAGGCGACUCGCUGGACAGAUUGACGCUGAGGUGCGAAAGCGUGGGGAGCAAACAGGAUUAGAUACCCGUGUAGUC
rnacentral:rRNA from 1 species